UACAGAGGGCGCAAACGUUGUUCGGAUUCAUUGGGCGUAAAGGGUGCGUAGGCGGUCGCGCAAGUCGGAUGUGAAAUCUCAGGGCUCAACCCUGAAACUGCAUUCGAUACUGCGUGGCUAGAGUGCUGGAGGGGAGACUGGAAUUUACGGUGUAGCAGUGAAAUGCGUAGAUAUCGUAAGGAAGACCAGUGGCGAAGGCGAGUAUCUGGACAGCAACUGACGCUGAGGCACGAAGGCGAGGGGAGCAAACGGG
rnacentral:rRNA from 1 species